UUAAUAUAAGCAAUCCAUCUCAACAUUGCAAUAUCUGGCGUUGAACAGUUAAUAAUCAUUCCAAGUAAUGGCAAGCAAUCUGUUUCAAUUACUACUACUGCCCCAAUCAAAUAGUCCUUUUCAGCUUUCAUAGCCGAAACGACUCCCCAAAAUUCUCUUUUGACUUGCAAAUAUGCACGCUGACGAAUACUUAAAACUUUAGCCCCAAA
rnacentral:lncRNA from 1 species